UACGUAGGCAGCAAGCGUUGUUCGGAGUUACUGGGCGUAAAGGGUGUGUAGGCGGUUGUUUAAGUUUGGUGUGAAAUCUCCCGGCUCAACUGGGAGGGUGCGCCGAAUACUGAAUGACUAGAGUGCGGGAGAGGAAAGUGGAAUUCCUGGUGUAGCGGUGAAAUGCGUAGAUAUCAGGAGGAACACCGGUGGUGUAGACGGCUUUCUGGACCGUAACUGACGCUGAGGAGCGAAAGCGUGGGUAGCAAACAGG
rnacentral:rRNA from 1 species